rnacentral:rRNA from 1 species
UACGGAGGGGGCUAGCGUUGUUCGGAAUUACUGGGCGUAAAGCGCACGUAGGCGGCUUUGUAAGUCAGAGGUGAAAUCCUGGAGCUCAACUCCAGAACUGCCUUUGAUACUGAAAGUCUUGAGUACGGGAGAGGUGAGUGGGACUGCGAGUGUAGAGGUGAAAUUCGUAGAUAUUCGCAAGAACACCAGUGGCGAAGGCGGCUCACUGGCCCGUAACUGACGCUGAGGCACGAAAGCGUGGGGAGCAAACAGG